CACUUCAUCGUUUAUUUUCAUUUCUGCUCAGAAGUCAAGUCGUGAACAAUAACAAAUACAAUAUCUACUCUACAUCUAGUAAUAUCGAAAUUCCUGGAACUUUCCUAAAUAGAAAUAUAUCAAGUAGAUCCUGUGUUAUCUCGAACUCAUCUAAUAGUAUAGAAGAAGUUGUAUCAUGAAAUGGAAGAACUGUUGAACUCUCCAUGGUGAAAAGAUUCGAAAAUACUAUUAUGUACAAUCCGCACAUAAGUAUUUAUAUAUUUAAUAACUGCAUUGGAUAUCCAAAAGGAUUGAAAUAACUAGAAAUAUUUUUGAUGAAGAAUAUUGUUUACAAUGUUUUCUUUACGGAUAAGUUAUCGUAAAGAAUUGAUAAAAUAUAUUGUAACAUAACUAACCUAACAAUUUCAGCAGACAUAUGAUUAGUGUUCAGAAUAAAUGAUUGAGAGAAUUAUAAUUCUCAUCAACAAUAUGAAUGCACUUAUAUUUUUGAUUACUAAAGGAGAAUUACUGCAAUUGUGCUAAUAUGUGAUUUUAUGAAAAUAAAUGAGAUUUGUUUUGA